UGGCAGUGGUCCCCUUGGGUGGGCAAAGGGAGCGGGUUACUUGUCAAUGUAAUACUAGGCUGUGUUGGGCAGGGCAGUUCCAGCCUGUGUCUGUGGUAUGUUUGUGUGUCUUGUCUUCUGUGUCUUAGCCCUUCCUCAGGUCCCAACGCCCUCUUUGUGCUCAAGGGGCACGGCAUGCUUCUCAGGCGCCAUCCCUAGGCUCUCAAACACCUGUAUUCAUCGGUGUAGCGCCAAUGGGGCGCUGCUUUGCUUGCCUAGCAAGCUUACGGCGUGGAUUGUUCUUGUGUGUCGGAAGCUUCCGGCAGGUCCUUUUCUUGCAGCCUAGUCCUAGGCCGCAUUGGGAACUCUGCUCUCCAGCCGUUCCUUUUCAGGGACCGAGGCUUCUUCUCUGCGUCGUUACAUUCUUAGGUCUUGAAGAGAGGCUUCUUGCCGCAUCCCUCGCCCUGGUUUUGAUGGUAACUUCUUAUAACAGGCCAUCACAUUCACUUCUCUUUUGGGGUUGCCAUAGAGCUUCUGCACCCGGGUGUCACGCCCUGUAGGUCAUCUUGUUGGGCAGCCUCUCCGGUCCGGGAGUCAUUCCUCUCGCUGAGAGUUUUCUCUCAUUUGUGAUUUGUGUUGUUUGUAGCACUCUGUGUAGCGUUGAUCCCUGUGUGUGUGUGUCUUGGGUGUGGAGCUGCUUUGCCUGGGUUGUCGAGUCCAGGGUUGGGUGGAAUAGCAAGAAGAGGGUCCAGUUAGUGUGUCAGUAUGGCUAGUCUGGAAUUGUUUGGUGCUCACUCAGCAUCUGGCUGACUUGUUUAAUUAUUUUGGGUUUUUUUUUUUCAGAUGCAGCGAGAGAGGAAGCGCACCAAAGAGCAGCACAGGAGGGGAGCAGAGCGCCGUAUGGAGGUGGGUCGGCCAUUUGAGGUGCUGCAAGUGAGGACAGCUGCAGGGUCCGUCUCUGGACCGAGCAGCUGAUGAAGAGGCACCGGGCGACUGCAGGAACAUUCCCAGUUAGCGAAUGUGUGGUGUUGAUGUUUUUGUUGCCGAUGGAUUCGGAUCCCCGGCCCUCGGAAAGCUAAGUUGAGGGACCGUGGCCGGGGAGGGAGCGAGUUUGGGGGUCAUGGCAGAGGGGUUUUAUGGCUAGCGCCGGGGAGAGGGCUGUCUGGGAGCAGUCCCCCUUGGCUGGGCAAAGGGAGCGGGUUACAUGCCAGCACGAUGCUAGACCGGGCAGGGCAGUUCCAGCCUGUGUUAUGUCUGCGUGUCUCGUCCUGUGUGUCUUAGCUCUUCCUCAGGUCUCAACGCCCUCUUUGCGCUCAAGGGGCACGGCACGCUUCUCGGGCGCCGUCCCUAGGCUCUCGAACACCGGCACUUGUCAGCGUACCGCCAAACGGGUGCUUCUUUUCUUGCAUAGCAAGCUUACGGCAUGGAUCGUUCUUGCGUGUCGGAAGUUUCUGGCGGGUCCUCUAUUUGCAGCGCUAUACCAGGCUGCGUCCGGAGCUCUGCUCUCCAGCUAUCCAUUUUCAGGGACUGGGUCUUCCUCCCUGCAUCCUUACCUUCUUAGGUCUUGAAGACGGGCUUCUUACUGCACCCAUCAUCUCGGUUUUGACAGUAACUUCUUAUAACGGGCCAUUUACGGUCAAUUCUCUUCUGGGGUUGCCAUAGAGCUUCCUCACCCGGGCGUCGUGCCCUAUAGGUCACCUUGUUCGGCAGCCUCUCCGGUCUGGGAGUCAUUCCUCUCGCUGAGAGUGUUCUCUCAUUUGUGAGUCGCGUUGUUUGUAGCGUUCUGUGUAGCGUCCGUCUCUGUGUGUGUGUGGUGUGUGUGUGGAGCUGUUCUGCCCAGGGCUGUGGAGUCGGGGAUAGGCGGAAUAGCAAUAAGAGCGUACGGUUAGCGUGCCGAUACGGCCCGUCCGGAAUUGUUUGGCUCUCACUCGGCAUCUGGGUGACUUGUUUGAUAACUCGGUGUGAUUUUUCCAGAUGCGGACUGGCUAGAUGCCCACCGAAGAGCGGCAGAGGAGGAGAGCAGAGCGCUGUAAGAAGGCGCGAAUCGAUGCGCGAACGGGAUAUCCGCACCGGAGCGAACUUAAGCGAGGCGAGCGAUGACCGGUGGCGGUCAGGCCUCAGCACGGCAGGCCGAAGAAUCCGACUCCGAGCGGCCGAGGAAAAGGGACGGGCGAGAGGAAGGCGUUUCCAAGGAGGGCUUCAUCGCAGCGGAGGUCGACGCCGGGCGGCACGUCGGCGACUGGCGACGCUCUGUCUUGUGAGGGAUGAAGCGGAACCCGGCGGAUGGGGGAGCGUCCCGGUUAGAUGACCUUUUCCCCAUGAGAAGGGAAUCUGGAUUCUGCCCUCUGAAAGGCAGGGAAUCAGAGUAGCUAUCCAGGUGACUGCAAGCUGCAUGUGUUUGGCCGGGGGUUUGAAUCGGAGGAUCCAGAUUCCAUUGUAGUAGAAAGCUCUGGAAUGAGAAAAAUGUUAAGCGAAGCAGGAGAGAUUGACUGUCAAUGUGCCUGAGUCAUUAACUGUCAUUGCUCUGAGUCCUUGCUGUGGUGAUAGUGCAUCACUGGAAACCUAUGUAUUAAUGCCUAAUGUUGUUGUUCUUUAAAGAAAGUAACAAUAAAGGUGAAGU